rnacentral:antisense_RNA from 1 species
CUUGAUGGACCCGAGCCACAGCGGCUCGUUCUCGGGCCGGUGCGCGCCGUAGGUCGCCAGCAGCGCCUGCGCCUC